rnacentral:rRNA from 1 species
CCUACGGGUGGCAGCAGUGGGGAAUUUUGGACAAUGGGCGCAAGCCUGAUCCAGCCAUGCCGCGUGCGGGAAGAAGGCCUUCGGGUUGUAAACCGCUUUUGUCGGGGAAGAAAUCUUCUGAGCUAAUACCUCGGGAGGAUGACGGUACCCGAAGAAUAAGCACCGGCUAACUACGUGCCAGCAGCCGCGGUAAUACGUAGGGUGCAAGCGUUAAUCGGAAUUACUGGGCGUAAAGCGUGCGCAGGCGGUCGUGCAAGACAGAUGUGAAAUCCCCG